UCAGAUUGAACGCUGGCGGCAGGCCUAACACAUGCAAGUCGAGCGGUAACAUUUCUAGCUUGCUAGAAGAUGACGAGCGGCGGACGGGUGAGUAAUACUUGGGGAUCUGCCUGAUGGCGGGGGACAACCACUGGAAACGGUGGCUAAUACCGCAUAAUGCCUACGGGCCAAAGUGUGGGACCUUCGGGCCACAUGCCAUCAGAUGAACCCAAGCGAGAUUAGCUAGUUGGUGAGGUAACGGCUCACCAAGGCGACGAUCUCUAGCUGGUCUGAGAGGAUGAUCAGCCACACUGGGACUGAGACACGGCCCAGACUCCUACGGGAGGCAGCAGUGGGGAAUAUUGGACAAUGGGCGCAAGCCUGAUCCAGCCAUGCCGCGUGUGUGAAGAAGGCCUUCGGGUUGUAAAGCACUUUCAGUGGUGAGGAAGGCGUUGUCGUUAAUAGCGGCAACGAUUGACGUUAGCCACAGAAGAAGCACCGGCUAACUCCGUGCCAGCAGCCGCGGUAAUACGGAGGGUGCGAGCGUUAAUCGGAAUUACUGGGCGUAAAGCGCACGUAGGCGGUUUGUUAAGCAAGAUGUGAAAGCCCAGGGCUCAACCUUGGAAUUGCAUUUUGAACUGGCAAGCUAGAGUUUUGAAGAGGGUGGUAGAAUUUCCAGUGUAGCGGUGAAAUGCGUAGAUAUUGG
rnacentral:rRNA from 1 species